rnacentral:siRNA from 1 species
GAUGGCUGGACUCGAGAGAUGAG